CUAGCAGUAUCAGAGUUUGAUCCUGGCUCAGGAUGAACGCUGGCGGCGUGCUUAACACAUGCAAGUCGAACGGUUCUAGCAAUAGGACAGUGGCGCACGGGUGAGUAACACGUAGCUAACCUGCCCUCAAGCGCGGGAUAACGUUCCGAAAGGAAUGCUAAUACCGCAUAAGCUCCCGAUCUGUAGAGGGUUGGGAGAAAAGGCGAAAGUCACUUGAGGAGGGGGCUGCGACCCAUCAGCUAGUUGGGGAGGUAACGGCUCACCAAGGCGACGACGGGUAGGGGGCCUGAGAGGGUGGCCCCCACACUGGGACUGAGACACGGACCAG
rnacentral:rRNA from 1 species